UACGGAGGGCGCAAGCGUUGUUCGGAAUCACUGGGCGUAAAGCGCGUGCAGGCGGCUUGGCAAGUCGGGUGUGAAAGCCCGGGGCCCAACCCCGGAACUGCAUCCGAAACUGCCUCGCUCGAGUCCCGGAGAGGGUGGCGGAAUUUCCGGUGUAGAGGUGAAAUUCGUAGAUAUCGGAAGGAACACCAGUGGCGAAGGCGGCCACCUGGACGGUGACUGACGCUGAGACGCGAAAGCGUGGGGAGCAAACAGG
rnacentral:rRNA from 1 species